UUUUAUAUAUAUUUUAAAGACUCAAAUAGAACUAUUGUAAUAUAUAUUAAGUCAAUUGUUUGGUUUAGCGCGGGUGACAUUGCUCAUUGUCAACUGAGACAAGAGCAAAAACAAGAGCCGUGGAGAGAGCGAGGAUGAGACAUGGCGGAGAAAGCCUGUGGCGCGUGGCAAAUUCUAUUAAAUAUUCAAAUCGAAAUCGCUUUAAGCGUCCCGAAAAACGAACAGGGAAAAAAUCGCAGUAAUUGACUGCGACACCCACGCAACCUCACACUGCACGUACAACUUAUUCGUGAAUUCGAGAACCCAAAGAAUAUAUAUGUACGUACGGACGUAUGUAUGUGUGUGUACAUAUACAUAACACACGCAUCAUAUAUGAGGUAUAUUGUACCUGAAACCGAAAACAGAAAACCACCCAAAAACAGGAGAACAGGAGAAUAAUUCCACCCCAGGGUUCGCAGUUUGAGGGCCAAGGGUCGUCAUCGUAUUUUCGAAAAUGCCUCAUAGGGUAUAGGCCCAUUGUCAGGCUUUCUUCGCCAGCUUUCUUGGCCUGCGUGUGAAAGGAACCAAGGACAGUAGAGCCUAGCUAACACGAAUUAGCAAAGGGUGGAUGGAAAUCAAAGAAUAUUUUCUAUAUUUCAAUUCUUGCAACCAAAAGGUAAACUUAUCUUGCAAUGUUAGGAACAAACCAGAAGCUGUUGCAUGUAUUUAUGCGAUAGUAUCUCGAACUGCCUUGGCUGGGAAAUUGCGAUUCUUAGCACCGGAAGGUCCAUUUUAUUGAGGUACUUCUGUGCGCGUAAGAAUCGAAACGGAAUGUGCGGAAAUCAAAGGGAAACCUUUGUGGGACAAAACCGGAACAGGACUCGAAAGAGGGGUUGUUGCACACACAAGAGGUGAUUGAGAUUCCCCAUCCAAUAAUCACAUUAAACACACUACUGAAACUCAAAAGUCAAAAUGCAAAAAGUUGAUAGGGAAAAGGGCAGAAUAAGCGAACGAUUUAAUGGAACAUUUUGCGGUUGAUUUGACCUAAGCUAAGAGAGAUCUGUAAUCUGAGAAAAAGGUUUCGGGAAACUCAAUCCUUUUUGGGCAAUUUCGGGAAAGGAUACCUGACCUGAUGAUUAAUCUUAACAUUUUUUACUCGAAAUUAAAAAAUAUACAUAUAUAUGUGUAUAAAAAGGGGCCUUGUUUUAAACAAUGCACUCAAGGCAAACAACAAAUAAAUUGUACAGACGGAAACUACAAAAUAAAAUGAAAUAAAAGCUCUCUGCGAAAAACAGGCAAAAGAAAGUAGAAUCCAAAAGAAGGAAGCAACAGACAACAAUAACAACAAAAAGUUCUUGCUUCCCCGUGAUUUUGAAAGCUCUCUUUCCUUGGGGUUUUCCUCUCUUUCACUGAUUGCUCUCCCUCCCACUCUACGCACUUUCUUUGCAUUUCCUUUGCGCUGACGGUUUUCGUCAUGUGUUUUUGUUGCUAAUUUUGAAAUGAAGAGUGAUGAAGCGUGCAAAAAAUGAAGAAAAAAUUCGUUUUUGCCCGUUUAAAAAUAGAAAACGAAAAUCACUCGCGUUUGCAAAUUAUUUCCCUUAGUUUUCUUUCAUUUUCUGUAACAUUUAAUAGAUUUAUUUUUCAAAACUCAAAUUCAGUAUAUAGUCACUGUUGUUCAUUGCAUUUUGGUCAAAGUGUGACGUCUGCGGCGACGGCGACGCGCACCCUACGGCAAAAAAACGUAAAAUGAAA
rnacentral:sRNA from 1 species